UACAGAGGUCCCAAGCGUUGUUCGGAUUCACUGGGCGUAAAGGGUGCGUAGGUGGUCGGGUAAGUUCGAUGUGAAAUCCCCGAGCUCAACUCGGGAACGGCAUUGAAUACUAUCCGGCUCGAGGGUCGGAGGGGAGACUGGAAUUCUCGGUGUAGCAGUGAAAUGCGUAGAUAUCGAGAGGAACACCAGUGGCGAAGGCGAGUCUCUGGACGACUCCUGACACUGAGGCACGAAAGCUAGGGGAGCAAACAGG
rnacentral:rRNA from 1 species